UCCCUGGUGGUCCAGUGGUUAGGACUCCAAGCUUUCAAUGCUGAGAGCCCAGGUUUGAUCCCUGGUUGGGGAA
rfam:TPA: Bos taurus chromosome 1, whole genome shotgun sequence.